GAUUCCUUGAGCACUUGUUAUAGAGAAGACAGUGUGUAAGAUGCCAGCUGAGGUGGUAACCUCAGUGUCAAAAGAUCCCCAGCAGCAUGAGCAUGUCCAUAUGAUGCCUUUUACCACACUGCGGCACAGCAAGAAGGCCCUCACUGGAUGCAACUCUUUGAUCUUGGACCUCUUGAGGGGUGACAGUGUGCUGGCAGCCCUCACAGCCCUCCGUCGCUCUUGGCACCUCCUCGGCCUGGGCGCCCACUAUGGCAGCACUUGAGGAGCCCUUCAGCCCCCGCCCUGCUGCACUGUGGGAGCCCCUUCCUGGGACGUCUGAGGCCGGAGCUGGCUCCCUCAGCCUGCGGGGAGGUGUGAAGGGAGAGGCACGGGUGGAAACCGGAGCUGCACGCAGUGCUUGCAGGCCAGCUAGAGUUCCGGGUGGGCGUGGGCUUGGUGAGCCCUGCACUCAGAGUGGCUGGCUGGCCCCCGGGCAGUGAGGGGUUUAACACCCGGGCCAGCAGCUGUGGAGGGUGCGCCAGGUCCCCCAGCAGUGCUGGCCCACCGGGGCUAUACUCGAUUUCUCGUGGGUCCUUAGCUGCCUCCACACAGUGCAGAGCUCAGGACCUGCAGCCUGCCAUGCCUGAGCCCCCCAGCCCCCACUCCCGCCGUGGGCUCCUUCACUGCCCGAGACUCCCUGAUGAGUGCUGCCCCCUGCUCCAGGGCGCCCGGUCCCAUCGACCACCCAAGGGCUGAGGAGUGUGGGCUCACUGCGGGGGACUGGCAGGCAGCUCUACCUGCGGCCGGGUUUGGGAUCUACUGGGUGAAGCCAGCUGGGCUCCUGAGUCUAGUGGGGACUUGGAGAACCUUUAUGUCUAGCUAAGGGAUUGUAAAAACACCAAUCAGCACUAUGUGUCUAGCUCAAGGUUUGUAAAUGCACCAGUCAGCACUCUGUGUCUAGCUCAAGGUUUGUAAAUACACCAGUCAGCACUCUGUAUCUAGCUAAUCUAGUGGGGACUUGGAGAACUUUUGUGUCUAGCUCAGGGAUUGUAAACGCACCAAUCAGCACCCUGUCAAAACAGACCAAUCAGCUCUCUGUAAAAUGGACCAAUCAGCAGGAUGUGGGUGGGGCCACAUAAGAGAAGAAAGGCAGGCUUCCAGAGCUGGCAGGGGCAACCCGCACAUACCUUUUCACAGUGUGGCAUGUUUGUUCUUUUGCUCUUUGCGAUGUAGCUUGCUGCUGCUCACUCUUUGGGUCCACACUGCCUUUAUGAGCUGUAACACUCACCGCGAAGGUCUGAAGCUUCACUCCUGAAGCCAGCGAGACCACGAACCCACCGGGAGGAAUGAACAACUCCAGACGCGCCGCCUUAAGAGCUGUAACACUCACUGCGAAGGUCUGCAGCUUCACUCCUGCGCCAGCGAGACCACACACCCACCAGAAGGAAGAAACUCCUAACACAUCCAAAUAUCAGAAGGAACAAACCGGGGACAUGACGCCUUUAAGAACUGUGACACUGCGAGGGUCCGCAGCUUCAUGCUUGAAGUCAGUGAGACCAAGAACCCACCAAUUCUGGACACACUCUCAGCCUUUAGAAUCGUAAUCAGUAAAUUUCUGUUCUUUAUAAAUU
rnacentral:lncRNA from 1 species